rnacentral:rRNA from 1 species
GGACCAGACUCCUACGGGAGGCAGCAGUGAGGAAUAUUGGUCAAUGGGCGCAAGCCUGAACCAGCCAUGCCGCGUGCAGGAUGAAGCAUCUAUGGUGUGUAAACUGCUUUUGUACGAGAAGAAACCCUCCUACGUGUAGGAGCUUGACGGUAUCGUAAGAAUAAGGACCGGCUAACUCCGUGCCAGCAGCCGCGGUAAUACGGAGGGUCCAAGCGUUAUCCGGAAUCAUUGGGUUUAAAGGGUCCGUAGGCGGUUUUGUAAGUCAGU